rnacentral:rRNA from 1 species
GACAGAGGUGCCGAGCGUUAGGCGGAAUCACUGGGCUUAAAGCGUGUGUAGGCGGGCGAUCAAGUACCUUGUGAAAUCCCACGGCUCAACCGUGGAACCGCUGGGUAUACUGGUUGUCUUGAGCCGGCUAGGGGCGAGCGGAACAGACGGUGGAGCGGUGAAAUGCGUAGAUAUCGUCUGGAACGCCGAAGGUGAAAACAGCUCGCUGGGGCCGCGCUGACGCUGAGACACGAAAGCCAGGGGAGCGAAUGGG